rnacentral:rRNA from 1 species
AGGGUUUGAUCAUGGCUCAGAAUCAACGCUGGCGGCGUGCCUAACACAUGCAAGUCGAACGCGGUUAGUAGCAAUACUAACUGAGUGGCAAACGGGUGAGUAACACGUGGGUGACCUACCUUCGAGUGGGGGAUAACGUCCCGAAAGGGACGCUAAUACCGCAUAACAUCCUGUCCUUGAACGGAUGGAGAUCAAAGCCGGGGAUCGCAAGACCUGGCGCUUGGUGAGGGGCCCGCGUCUGAUUAGCUAGUUGGUGAGGUAACGGCCCACCAAGGCGACGAUCAGUAUCCGGCCUGAGAGGGCGGACGGACACACUGGGACUGAGACACGGCCCAGACUCCUACGGGAGGCAGCAGUGGGGAAUUGUUCACAAUGGGCGCAAGCCUGAUGACGCAACGCCGCGUGGAGGAUGAAGGUCUUCGGAUUGUAAACUCCUGUUGCUCGGGACGAAAAGCCUCGGCCUAAUACGCCGAGGUCUGACGGUACCGAGUGAGGAAGCCCCGGCUAACUCUGUGCCAGCAGCCGCGGUAAUACAGAGGGGGCAAGCGUUGUUCGGAAUUACUGGGCGUAAAGGGCGCGUAGGCGGCCCGCUAAGUCGAACGUGAAAUCCCCGAGCUCAACUCGGGAACUGCGUCCGAUACUGGCGGGCUUGAAUCCGGGAGAGGGAUGCGGAAUUCCAGGUGUAGCGGUGAAAUGCGUAGAUAUCUGGAGGAACACCGGUGGCGAAGGCGGCAUCCUGACCGGCAUUGACGCUGAGCGCGAAAGCUAGGGGAGCAAACGGGAUUAGAUACCCCGGUAGUCCUAGCCCUAAAC